rnacentral:tRNA from 1 species
GCAGUGCGUAGCCGAAUGGUUACGCUGUCCGCUUUGUAAGCGGAUGAUUCUGGGUUCGAUUCCUAUCUGCUGCA